UUUUUGAAAUUCUUUCAAUUUUUUUGUCAAUUACACAUGUGUAAGAACUGUAUGAAUAUACUUUUGUCCAAUUUUAUUAUCAUAUUUUUUUAUAUAUUUUUUUAAAUUGUGCAUAAGGAUUUUUUUGUGGGCCAAAUGACGUAAGAAAUUUGACAUGCUCAAAAAUCCUGCAGAAAUGCAAAAUUGACUGGCCUGAUGAACUCGGGAUGGCCGGGCAGUGAUAGUUGUUCCUUUCCAUCACUCGUUGUGUUGACUUCAUCAUGUCCAUUUUGUGAUGUUUUUUUCACUAUAUAAUCAUAUUGCAAGUGCACGUGCAUUUGCAAUAUGUUUCAAUGUGCAUUUACCAUAUGAAAUUUGACCUUGCUCAAAAAUGCAAAAUUGACUGGUCUGAUGAACACAGGAUGGCCGAGCAGUGAUAGUUGUACAUUUCCAUCACUCGUUGUGUUGAUUUCAUCAUCUCCGUUAGGUGAUGUUGUUUCACUAUAGAAUCAUAUUGUAAGUGCACGUGCAUUUGCAAUAUGUUUCAAUGUGCAUUUACCAUAUGAAAUUUGACCUUGCUCAAAAAUGCAAAAUUGACUGGUCUGAUGAACACAGGAUGGCCGAGCAGUGAGAGUUGUACCUUUCCAUCACUCGUUGUGUUGAUUUCAUCAUGUCCAUUUGUUUAUGUUUUCUCACUUUUGCAAAGUCACUGUGCAUUUGCAAUAUGGUUCAAUGGGCAGGUACCAUCACGAAUUUGUCAUGCUAUAAAAAUCCUGCAGGAAUGUGAAAUUGACUGGCCUGAUGAACACAGGAUGGCCUGGCAGUGAUAGUUGUUCCUUUCCAUCACUCGUUGUGUUGAUUUCAUCAUGUCCAUUAGGUGAUGUUUUUUCACUAUAGAAUCAUAUUGCAAAUGCACGUGCAUUGUUGUGCAACUGGUAACCCAAAAAUAAAAAUAUGGUUGUAAAUGCAUUUACCGGUCAUUCUGAUAUUAAUGCUCGCUAUGGGAACACAGGAUGGCCGGGCAGUGAUAGUUGUACAUUUCCAUCACUCGUUGUGUUGAUUUCAUCAUGUCCAUUAGGUGAUGUUUUUACACUAUAGAAUCAUAUUGCAAGUGCGCGCGCAUUUGCAAUAUGUUUCAAUGUGCAUUUACCAUAUGAAAUUUGACAUGCUCAAAAAUGCAAAAUUGACUGGUCUGAUGGACACAGGAUGGCCGAGCAGUGAUAGUUGUACAUUUCCAUCACUCGUUGUGUUGAUUUCAUCAUGUCCAUUAGGUGAUGUUUUUUCACUAUAGAAUCAUAUUGCAAAUGCACGUGCAUUGUUGUGCAACUGGUAACCCAAAAAUAAAAAUAUGGUUGUAAAUGCAUUUACCGGUCAUUCUGAUAUUAAUGCUCGCUAUGGGAACACAGGAUGGCCGGGCAGUGAUAGUUGUACAUUUCCAUCACUCGUUGUGUUGAUUUCAUCAUGUCCAUUAGGUGAUGUUUUUACACUAUAGAAUCAUAUUGCAAGUGCGCGCGCAUUUGCAAUAUGUUUCAAUGUGCAUUUACCAUAUGAAAUUUGACAUGCUCAAAAAUGCAAAAUUGACUGGUCUGAUGGACACAGGAUGGCCGAGCAGUGAUAGUUGUACAUUUCCAUCACUCGUUGUGUUGAUUUCAUCAUGUCCAUUAGGUGAUGUUUUUUCACUAUAGAAUCAUAUUGCAAAUGCACGUGCAUUGUUGUGCAACUGGUAACCCAAAAAUAAAAAUAUGCUUGUAAAUGCAU